CCACCCGAGCCACUGCCUGUUCACCCCGCUAUCAUCCAGAAGGCGAGGAUUGUGUUCCUUUGCUCAUUGUUUGCAGAACACUCAAGUUUUACAUGGGCUCCACGUGAUGCCCAGAGAAUAAGAGGCUAUGGGUUUUCUGGCUUUUCCAGAAUGGAAGUUGCGCAGAGGCAAACAGGUGGCAGCUAUCCCCAGGAUCAAUUCAGACCAGCCUCUCGUGGCUCUAUCCCCAGCAGCUUUACCUCUGCCCAGACAAAGGGUAAGAGGACCCGUGCCAAGAAUACUGACAUUAGCCUCUCUGGUUCUAUAGCCAGUGGCGCCUCUGCCAUCCACAACAUGCAUCAAACCAAGGCCAGCAGAACCUAUAGUCAAAGUGUCUCUGACCCCAGUGCAGUAAGGCCAGUUUCAAGUUGGGAGGCAAAGAGAAUUCAGCCCUACACUCUUCAUCCAGUACAGCCUCACUCCAGCAGCUCUGGUUUAGUCCAGAAUCCAUAUGGUAUGUUUAAUGUCCACAGUAGACCUGCCUCUAACCUGAAACCAUCUACUCCAAACUAUGGCUCUACCCAGAGUGGAUUGAAGUUCUCCACCUCCAGACAACCCAACCAAGGCCUUGUCCAGACUCAGAGUAGAGGAGCCCCCAGCCUCUAUGGUCAAGCUGCUACCCUCACCCGCUAUGUCCAGGACCUGGAGCAAGGGAGCAGCUUCUCUACCCUGGCUUCCAAGGGACCAAUAGAAAUCUCUGCCCAGUCAAUUUCCACUCCUGACCGUCAAGUUCCCUCAAGUGGUUCUUCAUUUAGACCAGGUCCUCUGAGUUUUGGUUCUACUCAAGGUGG
rnacentral:lncRNA from 1 species